AAGGGCACCACAAGAACGCGUGGAGCAUGUGGCUUAAUUUGACUCAACGCGGGAAAUCUUACCGGGUCCGCACAAACUGAGGAUUGACAGGUAAUUUAUGACCAGUUUUCACUUUUACGUAGUACUGCUAGCCCUUUCAUAAUAGUAUGUUAUGUGGUGCAUGGCCGUUCUUAGUUCGUGGAGUGAUUUGUCUGCUCAAUUGCGUUUUGUGUAGAAUUUAAGAUAAAGUUGUCUGUUUAUAUAUGAACGGUUUAUAUAAUAUAUAGAUUUGUUCUAAUAGAUAUUGAUAAGUAUUAAAUUCUCAAUGCAACGAACGUGACCGCAACCUUUUGUUUAAUGUAAUUUAUAUUUUGAUUAAUAUAGUUAUAUACAACUAGAGGGACUGCUGUGUUUUUAUAAACCAGAGGAAGGACGCGGCAAUAACAGGUCUGUGAUGCCCUUAGAUGUUCCGGGCUGCACACGUGCUACAAUGAUUAUUGCAGUGAGCAUCUCAUUUUUCCUGUUUGAUUAACCAUUCUUAUUCAAGUAAUAUUUGGUUAAGAUUAACAGUGAGACUUGCUUCGAAAGAUUGCAAGUAAGCAUUUUUAAGUAAUGAUUUCCUUAAUUCAAAUUAUAGUUUGAUUUUAUAAACACGCGAUAUACUGCAUCUAUCUUUCUCAGUAGAAUGUUUUUUCGUUUUUCUGUUAUACAUUAAGAUUGUGAUGUUCAGUAUGUGUUUUUUGUUAAUUCAUGGUGGGGACAGACCAUUGUAAAUUAUUGGUCUCGGUCUUAACUAGGAAUGCCUUGUACGGGUUUUUGGUUCAACAAACCACCCGGAAUACGUCCCUGCCCUUUGUACACACCGCCCGU
rnacentral:rRNA from 1 species